AUGGCCGUCGAAGAAGAAAAUGUAGCCCUUGGUGUCAUCUAUCGACCACAGGUUAAAGAUUGGCGAUCUGUUGGAUACCGACCGAGUUAUAGGCAAAAUUUGGUGCAAAAAUGAGGAAAAUUUUACAUUUUCUCAAACAGGGUAAGGAACUUGGUUCCUCGAAUAACUUCUGGCACAGAUAUCUGAGGGCAAGGCCGUCCAAGAAGAAAAUGUAGCCACUGUUGCCAUCUAUCGACCACAGGUUAAAGAUUGGUGAUCCGUUGGAUACCGACCGAGUUAUAGGCAAAAGUUGGUGCAAAAAUGAGGAAAAUUUUACAUUUUCUCAAACAGGGUAAGGAACUUGGUUCCUCGAAUAACUUCUGGCACAGACAUCUGAGGGCAAGGCCGUCCAAGAAGAAAAUGUAGCCAUUAUUGCCAUCUAUCGACCACAGGUUAAAGAUUGGCGAUCUGUUGGAUACCGACCGAGUUAUAGGCAAAAUUUGGUGCAAAAAUGAGGAAAAUUUUACAUUUUCUCAAACAGGGUAAGGAACUUGGUUCCUCGAAUAACUUCUGGCACAGACAUCUGAGGGCAAGGCCGUCCAAGAAGAAAAUGUAGCCAUUAUUGCCAUCUAUCGACCACAGGUUAAAGAUUGGCGAUCCGUUGGAUACCGACCGAGUUAUAAGCAAAAUUUGGUGCAAAAAUGAGUCUUACGAAAUUUUCAAAUUUUUAUAUUUUUUUCAAUUUUUUCAGAUUUUUUACUCUUUUUUAAAUUUUAAGCAUUAUUUGAGUGAAAAGAAACUCAUUGCAACCAAUUGGCAUUAAAAUAAAUCAAUUUAAAUUUUUUUACAAAAUUUCUCAAAAAAAUGGCAAGGGGUACCCCUUAUGAAAUUUUCGAGUUGAAAAUUUUUAAAAUUUUUUUU